GGCACUUUGGCCGAGUGGUUAAGGCGUUCGCCUGCUAAGCGAAUCUCUUCGGAGGCGUGAGUUCGAAUCUCACAGGUGUCG
rnacentral:tRNA from 1 species